rnacentral:rRNA from 1 species
GCUUGACUGCGAGCGUGACGGCGCGAGCAGGUGCGAAAGCAGGUCAUAGUGAUCCGGUGGUUCUGAAUGGAAGGGCCAUCGCUCAACGGAUAAAAGGUACUCCGGGGAUAACAGGCUGAUACCGCCCAAGAGUUCAUAUCGACGGCGGUGUUUGGCACCUCGAUGUCGGCUCAUCACAUCCUGGGGCUGAAGUAGGUCCCAAGGGUAUGGCUGUUCGCCAUUUAAAGUGGUACGCGAGCUGGGUUUAGAACGUCGUGAGACAGUUCGGUCCCUAUCUGCCGUGGGCGCUGGAGAACUGAGGGGGGCUGCUCCUAGUACGAGAGGACCGGAGUGGACGCAUCACUGGUGUUCGGGUUGUCAUGCCAAUGGCACUGCCCGGUAGCUAAAUGCGGAAGAGAUAAGUGCUGAAAGCAUCUAAGCACGAAACUUGCCCCGAGAUGAGUUCUCCCUGACUCCCUGAGAGUCCUGAAGGAACGUUGAAGACGACGACGUUGAUAGGCCGGGUGUGUAAGCGCAGCGAUGCGUUGAGCUAACCGGUAC